GAGGGUAUAGCUCAAGUGGUAGAGCACAUGCUUAGCAUGCACGAGGUCCCAGGUUCAAUCCCCAGUACCUCCU
rnacentral:tRNA from 1 species